rnacentral:rRNA from 1 species
AUUGAACGCUGGCGGCAGACUUAACACAUGCAAGUCGAACGAUGGAACCUAGCUUGCUAGGGGAAAUAGUGGCGAACGGGUGAGUAACAUUUAGGAAACUGCCUUAUAGAGGGGGAUAGCUCGGGGAAACUCGAAUUAAUACCGCAUACGUCCUACGGGAGAAGGGAGGCGAAAGCUUUCGCUAUAAGAUGUGCCUAAAUUAGAUUAGCUAGAUGGUGAGGUAAAGGCUCACCAUGGCGACGAUCUAUAACUGGUCUUAGAGGAUGAUCAGUCACACCGGAACUGAGACACGGUCCGGACUCCUACGGGAGGCAGCAGUGGGGAAUAUUGGACAAUGGGGGCAACCCUGAUCCAGCCAUGCCGCGUGUGUGAAGAAGGUCAUAAGAUUGUAAAGCACUUUAAGCAGGGAGGAAGAGCUAGUCAAGAAACGGGCUAGUAGUGACGUUACCUGCAGAAUAAGCACCGGCUAACUCUGUGCCAGCAGCCGCGGUAAUACAGAGGGUGCGAGCGUUAAUCGGAAUUACUGGGCGUAAAGCGGGUGCAGGUGGUGCACUAAGUCAUAUGUGAAAGCCCUGGGCUUAACCUAGGAACAGCAUAUGAUACUGGUGAACUAGAGUAUAUGAGAGGGAAGUAGAAUUUUUAGUGUAGCGGUGAAAUGCGUAGAGAUCUGGAGGAAUACCGAUGGCGAAGGCGACUUUCUGGCACAAUACUGACGCUGAGGAACGAAAGCGUGGGUAGCAAACAGGAUUAGAUACCCUGGUAGUCCACGCUGUAAACGAUGAGUGCUAGGUGUCGGCGUAAGUCGGUGCCGCAGUUAACACAAUAAGCACUCCGCCUGGGGAGUACGUGCGCAAGCAUGAAACUCAAAGGAAUUGACGGGGACCCGCACAAGCAGCGGAGCAUGUGGUUUAAUUCGAAGCAACGCGAAGAACCUUACCAGGGCUUGACAUACUGAGGACAAGUAUAGAGAUAUACCGUCUUCUUCGGAAGCCUCAAUACAGGUGGUGCAUGGUUGUCGUCAGCUCGUGUCGUGAGAUGUUGGGUUAAGUCCCGCAACGAGCGCAACCCUUAUCUUUAGUUGCCAGCAUUUCGGAUGGGAACUCUAAAGAGACUGCCGAUGAUAAAUCGGAGGAAGGUGGGGAUGACGUCAAAUCAUCAUGCCCUAUAUGCCCUGGGCUACACACGUGCUACAAUGGAAGGUACAAAGGGAAGCAAGAUAGUGAUAUUAAGCAAACCUCAAAAAGCCUUUCCCAGUUCGGAUUGUACUCUGCAACUCGAGUACAUGAAGAUGGAGUUGCUAGUAAUCGCAGAUCAGAAUGCUGCGGUGAAUGCGUUCCCGGGUCU